rnacentral:rRNA from 1 species
AUUGAACGCUGGCGGCAUGCCUUACACAUGCAAGUCGAACGGCAGCAUGGAGAGCUUGCUCUCUGAUGGCGAGUGGCGAACGGGUGAGUAAUGCAUCGGAACGUACCGUGUAAUGGGGGAUAACGUAGCGAAAGUUACGCUAAUACCGCAUACGACCUGAGGGUGAAAGCAGGGGAUCGCAAGACCUUGCGUUAUACGAGCGGCCGAUGUCAGAUUAGCUAGUUGGUGAGGUAAAGGCUCACCAAGGCGACGAUCUGUAGCGGGUCUGAGAGGAUGAUCCGCCACACUGGGACUGAGACACGGCCCAGACUCCUACGGGAGGCAGCAGUGGGGAAUUUUGGACAAUGGGGGCAACCCUGAUCCAGCCAUGCCGCGUGAGUGAAGAAGGCCUUCGGGUUGUAAAGCUCUUUCGGCCGGGAAGAAAUCGCACAGGCUAAUACUCUGUGUGGAUGACGGUACCGGCAUAAGAAGCACCGGCUAACUACGUGCCAGCAGCCGCCGCCG